AUUGAACGCUGGCGGCAGGCCUAACACAUGCAAGUCGAGCGGAUGAAGGGAGCUUGCUCCUGGAUUCAGCGGCGGACGGGUGAGUAAUGCCUAGGAAUCUGCCUGGUAGUGGGGGAUAACGUCCGGAAACGGGCGCUAAUACCGCAUACGUCCUGAGGGAGAAAGUGGGGGAUCUUCGGACCUCACGCUAUCUGAUGAGCCUAGGCCGGAUUAGCUAGUUGGUGGGGUAAAGGCCUACCAAGGCGACGAUCCGUAACUGGUCUGAGAGGAUGAUCAGUCACACUGGAACUGAGACACGGUCCAGACUCCUACGGGAGGCAGCAGUGGGGAAUAUUGGACAAUGGGCGAAAGCCUGAUCCAGCCAUGCCGCGUGUGUGAAGAAGGUCUUCGGAUUGUAAAGCACUUUAAGUUGGGAGGAAGGGCAGUAAGUUAAUACCUUGCUGUUUUGACGUUACCAACAGAAUAAGCACCGGCUAACUUCGUG
rnacentral:rRNA from 1 species